rnacentral:tRNA from 1 species
GUGCUUAUGGCGGAAUAGGAAGACGCUUCGGACUUAAAAUCUGAUUCCGAUAGGAGUGUGGGUUCAAAUCCCACUAAGCACA